ACACCACACACAAACUCAACACACCAAACACACAACACACAAACCUCCAAAUAUACCCAACACACACACCAACCCAAUGCAUUACACACACAUAUACAAAUAUACACACACUCAGCACACACACCCAACACACGCUGACAUCCCACACACUCCACAACAGACUGCACACACAACCCCCCCAUAUACACAACUAACACGUACACACACACCAUACCACAUGUAUCCACCACACAUGUACACAUGUGCACACACACACCACACGUGU
rnacentral:lncRNA from 10 species